rnacentral:rRNA from 1 species
UGCAGAAUCCCGUGAACCAUCGAGUCUUUGAACGCAAGUUGCGCCCUAAGCCUUCUGGCCGAGGGCACGUCUGCCUGGGUGUCACAAAUCGUCGUCCCCAAUCCUCUAAGGAUAGAGGACGGAAACUGGUCUCCCGUGUGUUACCGUACGCGGUUGGCCAAAAUCCGAGCUAAGGACGCCUGGAGCGUCUCGACAUGCGGUGGUGAAUUCAAGCCUCUUGGUAUUGUUGAACGCUCCUGUCCGAAGCUUAAGAUGACCCAAAGACCUCAACGCGACCCCAGGUCAGGCGGGAUCACCCGCUGAGUUUAAGCAUAUCAAUAAGCGGAGGAAAAGAAACUAACAAGGAUUCCCUUAGUAACGGCGAGCGAACCGGGAAGAGCCCAGCUUGAAAAUCGGACGUCUUUGGCGUUCGA